rnacentral:rRNA from 1 species
AUUGAACGCUAGCGGGAUGCUUUACACAUGCAAGUCGAACGGCAGCGCGGACUUCGGUCUGGCGGCGAGUGGCGAACGGGUGAGUAAUGUAUCGGAACGUGCCCAGUAGCGGGGGAUAACUACGCGAAAGCGUAGCUAAUACCGCAUACGCCCUACGGGGGAAAGCAGGGGAUCGUAAGACCUUGCACUAUUGGAGCGGCCGAUAUCGGUUUAGCUAGUUGGUGAGGUAACGGCUCACCAAGGCGACGAUCCGUAGCUGGUUUGAGAGGACGACCAGCCACACUGGGACUGAGACACGGCCCAGACUCCUGAGGGAGGCAGCAGUGGGGAAUUUUGGACAAUGGGGGCAACCCUGAUCCAGCCAUCCCGCGUGUGCGAUGAAGGCCUUCGGGUUGUAAAGCACUUUUGGCAGGAAAGAAACGUCGCGGGCUAAUACCCCGUGGAACUGACGGUACCUGCAGAAUAAGCACCGGCUAACUACGUG